ACAGGGUCUCGCUCUGUCACCCAGACUAGAGUGCAGUGGUGCAGAUCUUGGCUCACUACAGCCUUGACCUUCUGGGCUCAAAAGAUCCUACCAUCUCAGCCUCCUGAGUAGCUGCGACUACAGGCAUGUGCCACCACGCCCGGCUAUGGAUUUGUGGGGAGAUGUGCUGUGUGGAGUCCUGGAGUUUCAGCGAGAGGGCUCCGUGUGUGGAAGGUGCAGGACACCCCCAAGAAAUUCAGUGAAGCCCCACUCUGCGGUGACUGGCUAGACGUCCUGCUGCAAGCCCAGUACGUGAGAGACUGCUGGAGGCGGGCGGAGGAAGGGCUGCUGGACUCACACAGGGCCAUCUCACCCGGCCAGAAGAGGCAGUCUCCAGGCCUUGGUGAACAGACAGCAGAAGGUUUAAGGAUUCUCCACUGCCCCUGGUUUGGGAGGAGCUGCUCACGUAAAUAAAGAGGGGAUUUUGCCACCACAAGCAUAAAUACUCACUCUCAGAACAACGAGGCACCACCAGGGAACAAAAGGUGGGUCUUUAUAAUGUUACAUAUUGAUAAAGGUUGUUUUACAAUGCCGCUAGUGAUACUCAGUUUUGGUGAAUUGACUAACAUCUCCCACCACAUGGCAAGUUUUUUUUUAUUUCCCCCAAACAAGCUUCCAAAAAUAGCCUUAUGGCUGAUACCUAAUUGCAUUUCUAACAGAGCUAUUCUUCAUGUGCAGAUAACAGUCUCUGUAACCUGCUGGAUCUUGCAGCUUUAUGGGUUUUGGCAAAAAAAGGAGUUGAGGGGGAUUGCAGAAUUCACUCAGCAUGCAGCUUGCUGUCAUUACCACGGUGAUAAAUUUGCUGGUUUUGGCCUGGGUUCCUGGACACAUCCCCAUCCAGAGGUAUGGAAAAGAGAUGAAAUGGAAACAGAGAACUCCCAGCCUGAGGCCGGAGACAGUCUGGGAGGGAAGUAGGGAGCCCAGAAUGGGGCUGAAAACCAAAAGGGUAGGGGAGGGAAGGAAUGCUCUGCCUGCAGGAGUGUCCAUAAUUAGUAAUUUUUCCUUCAGUAAUUUACCACAGUACAUGCUAGAAACACCUUCUCUCCCUUUUGAUACAUUAAUUGAUGGAUUGUGGGUGGCAGCGGGGAGCAGAGCUUACAGCAAUCCACGGGAAAGCUCCAGAGGAGACGGGUGACCUUAAAUAUGACCGCGAGCAGGGUAUGUGGAGGUGGUGCUCUGUGUGGUAUAUGGGUUUUCUCUGUUACUGAGUAGUUCUAGGGAAAGUAUUAUCAUCAUGCAGAAGUGAAACUGAUUUUUUUACAUCAGUAUUCAGUCUUCUGAAUAAAACCAUUUUCCAUAAGCUUCACACUCUAUUUUGCACGCAUGCUAGUUUGAGAUUAUUCACGUGAACGCUGCUUGGCUGGCCUGGAGGAGAGCUAUUCACUUACGACUCCCUGAGUGGCUGUCUGCUGCUCCUGCAAUUUCUGGGAUGCUGUGCCUCAUUCAACAUGUUUAUGUUGCUAUCAAACAAUAAAUACUUAUCUCUCAUCUAC